rnacentral:lncRNA from 1 species
GUUCUCACAGGGAGAAAAGAUCAGGUGAGGACAUGGCGAGAAAGCGGCUACCUACAAGUUAAGGAGAGAUGCCUCUUGAGAAACCAAACCGGCUAACACCAUGAUCUUGGACUUCCAGACUCCAGAAAGGUUCCUUAUUUCAAUUUCCGUUUAUAUCCUGAAUAAAUUCAACAUGAACUCUGGCCUGGGAUGUAAAGAGAAGCAAAUUUAGCAGUGCUCCUUGAACUUAUAUGGCUGCAACAUGAUUUGUUGUGAUUGGAGAUAGCACAUCAUCCUGGAAAGCAGGGCUGAUGAAGGAAGAUCUUUGCCUCGGACAUUAGCAAUCACAUGGGAUUCACAUCCAAGACUUACUCUGGCUUCCUCUAAAGCAGCUGCAUCGUGUUCCUUGGGAUCCAAAGGUUCUAUUAAUGUGGCAUCUGAUCCUGGAGCCACUGAGACAGGAAAAGCCCGGAUUAUCCAUGAAAGAAGCACAGCUAUCCUAUUGGAAAGAGGAUAUAAAGAUGAUGCAAGGGUGCUGGGGAAGGAGAAGAACCAAGAAGUCCAACUGACAGAACUGAGGCCUCAGACCUAUGACCACAGUCUAGCCAGCCAAGCUAAGCCACUAGACCAGCGAGUAACAAAUCCCUCUGGAAUGGUCCAGCUCCAGCAGACAUCACAUGGAACAGAGCAUGCAGAAGUUCCUGGGCUACGGAUCAAACCCAACCCACAGCAGUGGACCAAGCCAUUGCAGUGACAGUGCCAGAUCCUUAACCCUGCUGCACCUCAAGAGAACUACCCUCAUUAAUUAACAUAGCACUCCACAGAGCCUCGUUUUCAACUUGAGAAAUUCUAUCACAUCCAAUAAAGUGGGACAAAAAGUACAGGCAUAUUGAAGUCACAAGCCUUGCCAUUUUCCUGAUCAGUCACUGGUCUCAUAGAACAAUUGAGUGGCCUUUUCUUAACUCAGUUAUGGCACCAGCUGGGGGCCAAAAGUUUAUGGGCAUGAAGUUAUAGUUAAAUAACUAUAAGGAGGAAUGAAAGUUUGGGUCAUCCUGCUAGGCAAAACCAUGACCAGCUAGAAUGGGUAGAGGAAGAAGGAAAUAGUAAAAACCAGUUAGGCCCACCUGAGCGGUUAUAGAAACAAGGACUGCAGUAAUUUUAAGCAGUGCUCUUCUUACUUUAGUAUGAAUAGUUGUGUAUACAUUAACUAGCUAUUUUUUUCUUUUCUUCCCCCUUCCAUUACCCUAAUAUCCAUCAUCAGAUAUUUCAAUGGCUGGCUAGCUUUUUAUCUCAGUAUUUAAGUUACGAGGUAUCAAAGGAAGAGCCUCACCUGGAGAUGGAUUAAGUGACCAAAGACUUUGUAUCCUUUUGUGGAACUAGGGGUAGCAUGUUUUAGGUUGUUUGAAGGACAGUUGCAUCAUGUUAGAAAGUUAAAUAUGGGUUAAGAAGGUGUAUACUGAUGCCAAGUUGAUAAAGAGCGGAAUAUGCAGGCUUUAUACUAUGUCAACCUCACUACCAGCAUUAUGAGUCCCACAGUCCCCUUCUGGAAAAUGUGAGUAAGAUUUGGAAGACAAAUGUAUCCACUGUGUGGAUAAAUACACUGAAACUCAGCAAGCUAUAGUGACUUGUCCAAACCUCUCAGUUCCUAAGCAGAAGAGAUCGAACUCUGUCUGCCCCCAGAGUCCAUGUUUUUUCUUUUAUGCUGUAUCACAUCAAGGUUCAGUAUUGGUAGGUGGCAAUUAAUAGGAUUAUCAAUUAUAAACAGAUAUAAUUUCAUAUGUAUUCUUAAUGCACAUUUUCAUAUAUUGUUGGAACACAUCUUUUAUUCAAUGCAUUAAAGCAGUAACAUGGCAUCAUUUAUCCAACGUUCCAUAUGUUCUGAUCCACCCAAAGUCCUCUAUCUUCUCAUUUAAUCCUCACAAUAAUCACGAAAAUGGAGUUAUUGUUUAGCCUCAUUUUCAGAUGAGAAAAAUGAAAAUUAAAGAGGCUGAGAAAUGUUUCCAGAGUCAAUCAGUUACCAGGAAGUGGCAAGGCCGGAAUUCAUAUUCUCUUCUGACGUUGAAGACCGUUCUCCAUGCUCUGGGUUCCCUGGGUUAAUUUUCCCAUGGACUGGGGCCAAGGGGUAGAUUUUGUUUGUUGUGUUUUUUAAGAUGACUUAUUCCUUCUCUAACAUGUUCCAGGAUUAUUUCCUUCUUCCUCUCUCUCUAGACACUUCCCUGAAACAGCUUCUUGUUUAUUUAUAGGCCAAUUUCUACUUUCAGCCUCACUAAAUAUUAGGAAGACUCACCCCAUGAAGGCAUUUCAAUAUGUGGAAUUGGAUGAGCGAAUAAAAAGAAAUAUUUUAGAAUACUUAAAUUGCAAUGGAUGGCAGACAACUACCAUUCAAUGCAAUUUAGGUGUUCUAAGACAUUUCUUUUACUUUGCCCAACCAAGCACUCAUAACUAGAUGGUUUUGCCUCCAGGUCUGAUGCAAAUCCCUAGAGGAUUUCAUUUUGCCUUUAAACUAUAGCUGAUGGUUGCUACCUGAGAUGUUUAAGACAACCAGGUAUAUAAAUAGCCUCAUCUACAAUUAAGGGAAAGAUUGUAUCUUUGUAAUAUGGACCUUGGGAUAAACACAGCCUUGUCUGCUAUUUGCUCCAGUUGCCAACAUCAGCUCCAAAGCAGAAAAAUAAAAUUGAAGGGAAGAGAAUUGCUUUUCAGCUCAUUACAGGGAAAGGAAAAUACAUUAGUACAUAGGAUUCAUAUAAAAAGAUAAACAUAUACACAAACACAGAGUGGGAGAGAGGGAAGCAAAAAUUUAUUAAGGGCUUAAUAUGUACCAAAAGCUUCACCAAUCUUACAAAAAUUCCUAUGAGACAGUUAUUUCCAUAUUAUAAAGGAAAGAACUCACCCACCCACCCCACCCCCCAAAAAAAACUCAACUUGACAAACCCCUCCACCUCAAAAGUCUAGGCUUUUCCCACUAAAAUACAUUGACUUUGUGUACAAUACGAUGUACAUUUCUUUUGGAAAUGCAGAACCUGUUGUACAAGAUGUCAUGUACCUUUUUGUGCUUCAGAAUGAAAAUAAAGUUAUGAAUCAGGAUCA